UCCCUGGAGGACUAGCGGUUAGGCAACGGCACUCUCACCGCUGUGGCUCGGGUUCGAUUCCUGGCCAGGGAA